GGAGAGCUCCUUUUCCAAGAUCGUCAAUCUAAGCAUGAUCCAGGCGCCAAGAACAAAAGUUGAUUACAUGAGGAUGUCUCUGUGCCAAGUCAAUGGUUUCCUCCGUGAAUACAUCGUCUCACAGUUAAUGGAAGAGAACCUUGUCUUUGCACUUGAGGGCCAUUGCAAAAAGAACAUACAGCGCACAGGACGGCACCUUGCCAUAGACAAUAGUUGGGACAGAGACAAAAAUGUGUUCGAGAGCAUCGACCUUUCAUUGCUACGGUCUUUGACUGUGUUUGGUAAGUGGGAAACAUUCAUCAUCUCUGACAGGAUGAGGCUGCUCCGGGUGUUGGAUCUAGAGGACGUAUCUUCAGGUGUUACAAAUGGUGACGUCGAGAAGAUGGUGAAGCUGCUGCCCCGCCUCAAGUUCCUCUCCUUAAGGGGAUGCAGAGAAAUCUCUCGUCUGCCUGAUUCCUUGGGAGACCUGAAGCAGCUCCAAACUCUGGAUAUCAGGGAAACAUCUGUAAUCAAGCUACCAAAGAGCAUCAUCAAGCUAGAGAAACUGCAGUACAUUCGUGCCGGUACCGCCAAGCAUCAUCAAGCUAGUGAAGCAGCAGAGAACCCAUCAGUGGCAGCAGCAGAGAACCCAUCAGCAGCAGCGCCAAUAAGCAGACCAUGUGCUACUCUGGGGUCAAAGCUGACCAUACACCGCCGUCAUGGCUCUCAUAGCGGCAUCAAGGUUCCUAGAGGGAUUGGGAAGCUUUCCAGCUUACACACGCUGGGUGUUGUUAACAUUCACGCUUCAGGCGAGGAUGGCAUUCUGGAGGAGCUCAAGAACCUUACCCAACUGCACAAGCUUGGAGUGUCCGGCAUUAACCGGAAGAACAGCGAGAAAUUUUUCUCAGACAUCUCACGUCUCGUCCAUCUGGAAUCCUUGUCACUCAAAAUGCAGGCAAACCAAGACAAUGAAGCUGCUGGUUUAAUGGCCGACAUCUCGUCGCCUCUGGAGAAGCUACGGAGCCUUAAAUUGUACGGGCUAGUUGACAGGUUGCCAUCAUGGAUCAUGCAGAUGUGCUUGCAGCUGCCUAGACUUGAGAAAGUGGAUUUACAGAUGAAAACGUUGCCUCAGCAGGAACUAGAUUUUAUUCUAACUCUACCAUAUCUAUGUAGUCUACGUCUUCGGUUGGCAGAGUUUCAAGGUGGAGAGCUCCGUUUCGGUUGGAGUAUUGCUCAGAGUUCUGGUGAGUGGAUUAUCGACUUCCUUGAGAUAGCAUGCAACUCCAGAUUACAGGCUGUAAAGUUUGGCUCAAAAGUAUACAUUGAGAUCCUGAAGAUUCGCUGCUCUAGUGUGUCUUCAUCACUACAGUUUUAUGGUCUACGGUCUAUGUCAAGUCUGAAGGAAGUCUUGCUUAGCGGAUCCUAUGACCACGCCUUCGAGCAACACUUGGAGAGGGAGCUUAAGGAGAACAAAAACGGACCUAUUCUGAAGCCAGAGCAACCGUCAUCAUCGACCUGAUGGGUGCUGAGCGGCUCCUGAUGGUGUAUAUACUAUUGCAAUCUUUCAUGAUCUGCAACUAGUGGGAAUUACUACACUACUCACUAGUAUGUUCAAGUGUGACAUUGCAUUGAACACUGAAAUGUGUUCUAGUAUACAUAUGUUCCAUGCGUGCUUUGCGUUCGUCGUCUCAGGCUCCAAGAAUGAAUUUUUCUCAGGGAGAUAUGAAUUCAUGACGUCUAUACAUGACUCGUGCCAUGGUUUGAAACACUGAGAACAAGUGGAUUAUACUUGUAAAUUCAAUAUAUUCAUUCUGUCGAGUAUAUUGAUUUUUUAGGUUGCUGUAUUGAGUAUUGUAUAAUGCAUGAGAACUCCUGCGUUCUUGUUCUUGAGCAAGCAAAAAGAAAAAAGAGAAGACGCAAAAAAAAAAUUACAGCAAGCUGGACCAACAAUAAUGCAAUCAGCAGACAGCACGAUUCAUAAGAAAUCCCUGCAACAUCACCGAAGGAAGGCAUCGGCACAGCUAUCAUCAAGUGGGACUUUGUUCUGAUGUUAUGCACAUUGAGAUGUAGCUUAAUUGGUUUCUGUAUGUGUUCUGAAACCUUGAGACUUUGUUUUGAUCAGUGGAUACUUUCCAGUUUGUUAGUCAUUAAUGAGUUCUAGCGACCGACGUCUGAUUGUAAUUGGGGGUGUGUGCAGUGGUUAUCCAAUGAAUCGCAUGAAUGCGUAUCUUCAGGAGAAGUGGAUUGUGUUGUGUGCCUAUAUAUGUUGUGUCCAAUUCAUUACUCUUUGCUGACAAGGACAGGAUCAUGUGUCCUCUUCUGCUGACGCACACACAUGCCUCUCCCGGUGUUAUAGGACCCCCACACUAUCAUGACAUUUCGCAAAUUUGCAGAUUCUUUUAAUGGUUCCCUUGUAUUUCAUUCGAAACUCACCAGCUCAUCACUACCAUUGCCAAGAGGUAUAUUUGGCCCUGCAGCAUCUCUGGAGCAUUGGUUGGUACACCAAGAUGGAGCCUGUACAGCAAGUCAAAUGAACGCUAGUUUGGAGAUGCAUUACCACAGUGGCAAAGUAUUGUGUCGCGGAUACUAGUCAGAUUCCCGCAAUUUUCUAGCGUGUCAGCGUCAGCAUAGCAAGAUCAUAUAAACUUUUCACCAGUACCUAAUCUUACAGAUGUGUUUUAUCUAUAAUGAAUCAGCGCACCUUAUUUUCAUAUGCUCAAUGUCAACAUCACAGACCGCUUCAGUCACUGAACAAGAUUAAUAAUGGCAGUGGCGGUUUUUAAUGUGUUGAUAAGAGACACGGUUCGUCGUUGGUGUACAAAGAUGCCUCUCAAGCACCAGAAAAGGCAACAGGACAUCAGAGCUGGGUGGUCACCAGUCCAAGCUCCCAAAAUAUCACCGAAGCUGGGUGGACGGUCACCAGAUUGGUUCUUUACUCCCUCCUAAAAUUUCUAUCACAUCAAAUAUUUAGAUACUCAUUAGGAAUAUUAAACAUAGACUAAUUACAAAACCAAUUGCAUAGAUGGAGGCUAAUUUGCGAGACGAAUCUAUUAAACCUAAUUAGUCCAUGAUUUGACAAUGUAGUGCUACAGUAAACAUGUGUUAAUUAUGGAUUAAUUACACUUAAUAGAUUCGUCUCGCGAAUUAGCCUUCAUUUGUGUAAUUAGUUUUAUAAUUAGCUCAUGUUUAGUCCUCCUAAUUAGCCUCCGAACAUUCGAUGUGGCAUGAAUUUUAGUCUGGACUAAAGAUCCAAACACCUUAGUAGGGUAACCGACUCCAAAGACAAAACAAAUGAACGAUAACUGCAAGAGAGAAAAAAACAUAAGGCUUGUCACACCCUGAUAAUUGUUUGUUUUUCUAAAUCAAGUAAUGUUGUUCUGCGUCUGUGCAUUCAUGCAGAUGCAUCUUGGUUUUUCUUAAGUGCAAAAGGUUUUAAUAUGCGUUCGGACGACGACGACAAGGUUCUUCUAAGAAUUUUCCAAUUUUUUAUGGAAUUUAUUCUCAUUUUUCUAGGGCUUAAUCCAUUUUUUGGAUGGUUCUACAAAUCCUUCCAGGAUCUCUAAGUCUUUUGUUUGGUUCCUUGUGUCCUGAAUCAUCUCCAGCAAUUUUCCUGAAUUUUUCGGAGUAUUCGGAGUAUUUUUCGUGAUUUAGUUAUGAUUUCAGGAUUUUCUGGAAUUGUUUUUGAAUCUGAAAUUAAUUCCCGAAAUUAGAAAAAGGAGGAAAAUAAAUCCGGACUCCAACCUGACCUAUAAAUACUUUCCAGUGAUCACGUUGACGUCCUUGUUUCAACGCCGCAAACCCACCUCGUUUCGACAACCCUAGCUUCCGCAAUUGGACGUCGAACAUAUUCAUCUUUAAACUACUGCGAGUUUUCCGACGAGCAAAUCCGGCACAACCGUCAGUCCUUGACCAAAGGUGAGCGCACCAACGUAUUCGUCUCGUCGUUCUUGUUCCGUUUUGCCGUUCAUGCACGAGAUCGGACUUCGUUUCCGGCAAGUCCCUCUUCUCAUUCUCUCCUUGUUUCUGUUCAACCAUGGCCGGCCUCCUGAGCUCCCAUGCACCCACGCCGCCUAGGCCCCGCCCGCCUGGAUUGAUAUAGGAAAGAUGUUUGUUUCGUUUUUUGAAUGAAUUUGAUACACCAAAUAAUCGGUUUACUUAGUUUAUCUAUAAUGAAUCAGCGCACCUUAUUUUCAUAUGCUCAAUGUCAACAUCACGACCGCUUCGGUCACUGAACAAGAUUAAUAAUGGCAGUGGCGGUUUUUAAUGUGUUGAUAAGAGACACGGUUCGUCGUUCGUGUACAAAGAUGCCUCUCAAGCACCAGAAAAGGCAACAGGACAUCAGAGCUGGGUGGUCACCAGUCCAAGCUCCCAAAAUAUCACCGAAGCUGGGUGGACGGUCACCAGUCGGCCCCGUUUGGUUCUUUUUCCUAUCACAUCAAAUGUGUAGAUACUAAUUAGGAGUAUUAAAUAUAGACUAAUUACAAAACCAAUUGCACAGAUGGAGGCUAAUUUGCGAGACGAAUCUAUUAAACCUAAUUAGUCCAUGAUUUGACAAUGUGAUGCUACAGUAAACAUGUGUUAAUGAUGGAUUAAUUACACUUAAUAGAUUCGUCUCGCGAAUUAGCCUCCAUUUGUGUAAUUAGUUUUAUAAUUAGCUCAUAUUUAGUCCUCCUAAUUAGCCUCCAAAUAUUCGAUGUGGCAUGAAUUUUAGUCCGUACUAAAGAUCCAAACACCUUAGUAGGGUAACCGACUCCAAAGACAAAACGAAUGAACGAUUAUGGCCAAAAGAGAGGAAGAGUACCGGCAGGAGAGAAAAAAACAUAAGGUUUGUCACACCCUGAUAAUUGUUUGUUUUUCUAAAUCAAAUAAUGUUGUUCUGCGUCUGUGCAUUCAUGCAGAUGCAUCUUGGUUUUUCUUGAGUGCAAAAGGUUUUAAAAUGCGUUCGAGGUUCUUUUGAGAAUUUUCCAAUUUUUUAUGGAAUUUAUUCUCGUUUUCCUAGAGCUUAAUGCAUUUUUUGUAUGGUUCUACAAAUCCUUCCAGGAUCUUCAAGUCUUUUAUUUGGUUCCUUGUGUCCCGAAUCAUCUCCAGCAAUUUUCCUGAAUUUUUCGAAGUUUUCGGAGUAUUUUUCGUGAUGUAAUUAUGAUAUUAGGAUUUUCUGGAAUUGUUUUCGAAUCCGAAAUUAAUUCCCGAAAUUAGAAAAAGAAGGAAGAUAAAUCCAGACUCUAACCUGACCUAUAAAUACUUUCCAGUGAUCACCUUGACGUCCUUAUUUCAACGCCGCAAACCCACCUCAUUUCGACAACCCUAGCUUCCGCAGUUGGACGCCGAACAUAUGCAUCUUUAAACUACAGCGAGUUUUCCGACGAGCAAAUCCGGCACAACCGUCAGUCCUCGACCAAAGGUGAGUGCACCAACGCGUUCGUCUCGUCGUUCUCGUUCCGUUUUGCCGUUCAUGCACGGGAUCGGGCUUCGUUUCCGGCAAGUCCCUCUUCUCAUUCUCUCCUUGUUUCUGUUCAACCAUGGCCGGCUUCCUGAGCUCCCAUGCACCCACGCCGCCUAGGGCCCCGCCCGCCUGGAUUGAUAUAGGAAAGAUGUUUGUUUCAUUUUUUUGAAUGAAUUUGAUACACCAAAUAAUCAGUUUACUUAGUUUAUAAAAUUCUGCAAAUUUUAAGGUAACCAGAUGCACUCCUGCCCCACCCGGACCCAUAAGGUUAAGGUCCCAUUUGGCAGGAUUUCAUUUGACCACAACAUGGAUAUACACAUUGAUCCAAAGUAUGCAAGUAUGCAUCGACACCAUGUGACACAGCAAGGUUUGACAAAAAAAUCAAUGAACAAAAUGCCAAUUAACAUCUUAUUUUGGAACUACUACUUGCUUUUGUUUUAUUUUACUUAAUUUUUCUAUCAAUUGGCAAAAGCCACCAAUAAAAGCAAGUCCAAGAAUAUGCAGUCCAUAUGUAAUUUCUAUGGGAAUAUUGCAUUCCAAGAAAUACUUGAUGCAACAUAAUGUUCCAAGAAAAUAAAUAAGUUGUGGCGUGUUGUGUUAAACAAACUAUUACAAGGUCAAAAAAUAAUUAAACCUUUACUUACUAACUUCUGUACUGGUAAAAGUUCCAGUCGACAGUUCAAAGUUGUAGACGAAAACUCAAAUUUUCUCAUGGACGUCAAGGGAAGAGUGUCUUCUUGUGAAAUUAAUCUGCAAGGAGUCCUCAAUAGUCUGCAAAGGUUGAAGGACCACAGUUCACAGGAUCAGAGCCAAAGCAUGGAGGCCCAAGCAUAAAUGUUGCGCAUUUCAUGGUGUGCAAGCAUCGAUAGUCACUCAAAGUAUUUCUCCUAGCAAUGCACGUUAGCUAAAGCACAGAUCCUCCUGCUUCGUGCUUUAGCAAAGAACCGAUAUGUGUGUUUUUGUGUGGUGGAAGCUCAAGGCUAGGAAUGUUUCAAAAGGUGUGCAAGAGAUGAAAGUACCAACAAAGCCCACUCAAGGUUUUUCUCCUAGCAAUGCACGUUAGCUAAAUCACAGAUUCAAUUCUCCUGCUUCCUCCUUUAGCAAAGAACUGAUGUGUUUUUUGUGGGUGUGUGUGGUGGAAGCGCAAGGCUGGGAACGUUUCAAGAGGCGUGCAAGAAAGGAAAAGGCCAACAAAGCCCAUCUAAAGAAGAUCAUAUAGAAGCUGAAGCAAAGAACAUAAUCCUUUUAAAGGUGUGCAAGUCACCGUCGCUCAACGUAUUUUCUCUCGGCAAGGCACAACUCCACGUCUUAUUUGUUCCAGCACAAUUGGAGUUGGUGCAGAACGAUGAUCAAACAAGAUGACAUUUUCUUUCCUUUUAUAAGAAAUAGGUGCUCUUAAAGCUUAAGAGGGGAGAGGUGAGAAUUAGGCAAACUUACUGCCACUACUAGAGGAACGUUUUCGCCGCCAGCCCUAAACCCCUCAUCACUACCAGUUUAGGCACUGGUGGUCAUUAGUUGGCAGUAAAAUGUCCAUUUUCACCGGUGGUUAGCGGUGAAGAAUAAAGUUUCACUACCGGUCUGAGACACAAACCAACAGUUAUGUGGCGCAUAUCACCGUCGAUCCGUGUCUUUGGCCGGCAGUGAUGUGGUGCAUAUCACCGCCGCUCUGAGACACAGACCUCCAGUGAUGUUGCUGGAAGAAGCACAUCAAAUAUAAUCCAUGCAUCAAACACAGACCGAAGCCCAUACAAACCAAAGUUCAAAUUUAGCAUAUACAUGCCACAAGCACAAUGCAUCAAAUGAUACAAGUUUCAAAUCAUGAUAAAUUAUUUCGGGAAAUAUUUACUCCUUCCUUAUUAUCUCUUAUUUAUUUCCACGUUUUAUAUAUUAGCAUAGUCUGCAAAUCUGCUGUACACACAUCUUUUUGUUGUUUUAUUCCUCGCUUGUGCUUAUAAUGGUAUAAUUGUAAGGUUUAGUGUUUGGAUGCCAAUUAUGCUAGUAUACUUUCGUGCUUAUAAGCAGGGUCCUACUUCCGUUUGAGUCUUUGUCUACGUCAAUUAAUUUUUUUAUAGGACCCCAGGUAUAUAUGGUGAAAUGUUUAAUAAUGUCCAAAUUAGCUGUUCCGCAGCUAGGGAUGCAAGUUAUAUAUAUUUUAGGUCAUUUGGUCGAUCUAAAAAGUUGGUAAAAUGAACUAGAAUGGUAUAUUCUAGGUAAAUAAUUUGGGAGGAUAAAUAAACUAGAGUGGCAUGCCAUCAUAAUUAAUCAGCUGACCUAGAAAACACUACUAGGGGUGUUUGGAUCCCCGAGCUAAACUUUAGCUCCUGUCACAUCGAAUAUUUGGACACUAAUUAGGAGUAUUAAACAUAGACUAAUUACAAAACCAAUUUCACAACCCCUAGGCUAAAUCACGAGACGAAUCCAUUAAGCCUAAUUAAUCCAUGAUUUGACAAUAUGAUGCUACAGUAAACAUUCGCUAAUGAUGGAUUAAUUAGGCUUAAUAGAUUCGUCUUGCGAUUUAGCCUAGGGAUUCUGCAAUUAGUUUUAUAAUUAGCUUAUGUUUAGUCCUCCUAAUUACCAUCCGAAUAUCCGAUGUGACACGGACUAAACUUUAGCUCGAGGAAGAGGAGAAGCUGGAGAAGAGCGUGCAGCGCGACCUGCUGGCCAUCUCGGACGAGUUCGAGAUGAUGUACUCCUUCCUUAAAGAUGUCAAGGACCGCGUCACGGACAAUGUGACGAGGACCUUGGUGAGGCAGGUACGCAACAUGGCCCUAGACGUGGAGGAUUGCAUCGAGAUCAUUGUCCACCUGGACCACAAACCGCACUGGUGGCGCCGCAUGAUGCUCCCGUGGUGCAUGCCUGCUGCGCCGCCAGGGAAGGAUCUGGACGCUGCCGUUGCCAAUAUAGAGCAGCUCAAGGCUAGGGUCGAGGCCAUGGGUCAGCGGAACUUGCGCUACAACCGCAUUGGUGACUCUGGCCAUAAGCCUGCGGAGCAGACGCAUCAGCAGGCUGUUGCCAAUGCAAUGCAACCAAACAUCCUUGGCUCCGCGACAAAUGUAGCAAAGCAGAGCGGUCAAGUGGAUCUUGUUAUGUUGAUCAGCGGGAAAAAUACAAAUGAAUCGAGGCAGAGGAAGGGAGGGGCUGAGGGGGACCAAGCGCACCAUCUGCUAGGUGAACUCUUUUUAUGUACAUGAAAUUUCAUUAUGUUGAGAAGUGUUAAUUUUGCCCCCUAAUACAUUCCUAUUUUCUGGCUCCAUCCCUGCAGGCGACAAAGAUGAUGAUGAUUGUUAUUAUGAUUGUGAUGAAGAGUUCAAGGUGGAGAAAGAAGCAGAUGAUGUCCAUCAACUCAAAGUACUCUCAGUGGUUGGAACAGGAAGCGAUCUGGAGACUAUGUCCAUGAAGAAGGCCUACGACGACAUAGAGACCCGCAAAAGUUUCAAUUGCCGAGCCUGGGUGAAACUGGUGCAUCCUUUACAUCCCAUUGAGUUCAUCCGGAGCUUGCUGGCUCAGUUCCAAAAUAACGCUUGUCCAGAACAAGACAAGACUGUAAAAGUCCUGGAUGUGAUGGUGGCGACAGACGGCGUACUCAUUGAGGAGUUCAAGAAGAAAAUAAGUCAGAAGUACCUAGUUGUCUUGGAGGACUUGUCUACCAUGGUUGACUGGGAGGCCCUUAGGGUCUAUCUACUUGACAAUAAAAAUGGCAGCUGCAUCGUUGUGCACACGCGACACCUUGGAAUUGCAUGCUCGUGCGUCGGGCAUGGAUACCGAAUAUCGGAGCUGGAAAAGUUAUCAGCCGAUCAUUCUGUUCGUGUCGUUUAUAAGGAGGUACGUAUUACGCUUGAAUUAUAAUAAAUUAUUUUGGGAAAAUAUUUACUCCCUCCUUAUUAUCUUUUAUUUAUUUCCACGUUUUAUAUAUUAACAUGGUCUGCAAAUCUGCAACACACACAUCUUUUGUUAUUGUAUUCCUGGCUUGUGCUUAUAAUAGUAUAACUGUAAGGAUUAUAGUUUGGAUGCCAAUUAUGCUAGUAUUAUUUUCAUCAUACACAAUUUGAUGUAUGAGGGAUUGAAAAAUUAAAAAUAGGCUAAACUACAGAAUGACAAGGAAAAACAAUGGAAGGAUUUCAUAAAAUAAAAACAAUUGAAGGAGUAGUACUAAACAAGUCGCAAAAGCAUUGUUUACUCCAUGUUGUGUGAACUUUGACAAUAAAGUUAGUAAACUACACUACGUGAGAAACCGACUUUGUUAACGCGGCAUUGGUAAAGGGCCUCAAUAAAUCUUGAAGGUAACGAACGGACUUCAUUGAAGUCCAUUACAAAUGAGGCCUCUAGAUCCUAGCCCAACCUCGGCAGCAAUGAUGCCCGUUACCAAUAACAAGAUAAUGGUAAUGGACCUCAACAAAAUCCGUUACAAAUGUUAUUGGUAACGGAUGUCACUAACGUCCGUUACGAAUGUGAGCCUCAUUUGUAAUGGGCAUGUACGGCCCGUUACAUGUCUGAUUAUCUGUAAUGACAUAGUUAUGGGAAACAGGCAUCACAUGAAGGCCGUUACGAAUGACAAGAUCAUUGGUAACGGGCUUCAUAUGACGGCCGUUACGAAUAACAUGAUCAUUGGUAAAGGGCUUCAUGUUAUGCCUGUUACCAAUGUUGACAGGUGGGCCCAGUGAAAGAUGCCUCAUGGUGUCAUUGGUAAUGCGACGUUCUUAAUGGACGUUAUUGUUGCCCGUUACAUCUCUGCUGUUAUCAGUAACGGGCAUUGUGCUGAUUACCGAUGAUUGAUCAUUUGUCACCCAAUAUGGGUAACCGACUCGAUUCCCGUUACCAAUGGCUAUCUACGUCCAUUGCUAAACUGACUUUCCAUCCUCCCCUUUUCCCGGUUUAAAGUAGACCUGAAAAAAAAGGGUGCACCACUCUUUACUCUCAGUUGGUAUUUGCAAUCGGGAUUAAAGGAGGCCUUUUAUCCAGGUCAAAAAUCAGCCACCCGUGGGGGACCCUUUAGUCCCAGGUGAAAAAAUCAGCCACCCGUGGAGAACUUUUAGUCCCGGGUGGUAAAACUAACCGGGACUAAAGAUCACCCUUUUAAUCACGGUUGGUAUUACAACCCGGGACUAAAGCCCACGACACCAACCGGGCUAAAAUGGGGUCUUUUAUCUCGGUUGGAAACUCCAACUAGGAUAAAAGGGUCCCCACGGGUGGUUGAAAAAGAACUAAAGCCCUCAGACCCUUUUUUACCCUAGUUGGUAAUACCAACCAGGAUAAAAGGGGUUGCCACGUCAGGUGCAGCCCCCACCCCUUUUAUCCUGGUUACUAAUACCAACAGGAUAAAAGGGAGUCUUUAGUCCCGGUUGAGGAACCCAGGACAAAAGACCCCCUUUGUCUCGAUUGCUUUAUCCUGGAUAGUUUUUUUAGGAGAUUUGCACACUACCGACCAGGACUAAUACUCAGUUUUCUACCAGUGUAAAAAUCGUAGAACAAAUCAUGGUAAAGUGCAGCCAGUUGGACAACAUUGAGUCAUUCUAGCGCAACCAUUGUGAUCAUACUCCAAUCACAUUUCCAUGUGAAAACAGUGCCAUAGUAUACUACUAGAGAACUGACUUUCCAUCUAAGUGCUUUUAUCUCGGUGUCCCAGGUAAAAAAUGGAGUCACCUAAGCCCACCCAUGGGAGGGGAUUUAGUCCCACUUGUAAAGACCAAUCGGAACUAAAGCCCCCCUUUAGUCCCGGUUGUAACGGAUUAAAAAAUGGUACCCACGCCCCCCCUUUUAUCCCGGUUGGAAAUUCCAACUAGGACAAAAGCCCCCACCCUCUUUAUCCCGGUUGGAAAUUCCAACCGGGACUAAAUCUUUUGUCCCGGUUGGGGAGCCUUUAGUCCCGAUUGGCGGCUCCAACCCAAACAAAAUGCCCUACCCACACGCAACACUGCUCUCCCUUCCUUUCUUUAAUUUAUCUCGCGUGGCACUCUUCUUAUCCACCGGCACCUCCCUCCUUAUCUUCUUCCUCUCCUCAUCCUCUCCACCGCCCCCUCCCCUCCUCACUCUCCUCAUCCUCUCCUCCCUCUCUGCGCAGGAGGGCAGGUGGCCGGCGGGCGUGGCGUGGGUGGGUGGCGGCCAGCACGUGCGAGCGAGGGUGGAGGUGGGCGGGCAUGGGCGGAGGCGAGCGGGCAUGGAGGUGAGGGUGGAGGCGCGGGCAAAGCGCGGAGGCGGGUGGCCGGAGGCGAGGGCGGGCGCGGGUGGAGGCAUGCGACGGCGGCGAGCGGGCGCGGGCGGCCAACGUGGUGACCUUUUUUAUUUUUUUUGGAAACUUUUUAGUCCAGGUUGGUGCUUUUAGUCCCGAGUGAAUGACCCAGGACUAAAGGACCCCCUUUUGUCUCGAAUAAUUAGUCCCAGAUAGAUUUUCAGGAUCUUUGACCCCUACCAAACAGGACUAAUGUCGUCUUUUCUAGUAGUGGUACUUACGUAAAAAGGCCUGUCCAAUGUACCAGCAAACUUAUUUUCUAAAUGAACCAGGCAGGAGAGUUGCCCAGUAUAUUAAAAAGCAGAAGUAAACCUAGACCGGGCAAUACAACAAAAGAAAAAAAAAACUACCACUACAACAAGUGUCAUAACAACACGCGACAACUGACAGUGGGUGGUUGGACUCGGACCUCAACCACGUCACACAACACCCCAACAACACUCCACAGGUGAGAUACAACUAACCAUUGAUCACCUCGCCGCAUCACAAUACCCGGAAGGUUAUGCUAAAAGUAGCCUUCAUCACAAGGGUUGUCGUCCUCGAUGAUGUCCCACACCAAACCAAACAUUGCCUUGCACUGCUGGCUGCUGUAGUCCCCUCCAACCUGUAUAGCUACCAUGACUCCUCCACCAUGGCUCCAUGCCGCCAUCGUCCUCAGGUCACGCACACACAAUCAUCGAUCUCUCAAUCCAUGACCUUGCGUCAGUAGAAGUCAAAGGAGUAGAGCACCGCACCACAUCAAAAAGGCCGCUACCAUGCAGGACCCAUUGCCAAAGUAUCGCUGCAACACUUUUCACACCAAACGACCAAAGCACCGCACAAGAUCCUGAUCGUCCAAAGCAAAUCCAAUAUGUGGGGGCCUCGCCACAUCCAACGCAGCACACUACUCCUCGGACACAUCACCUUAAAGAGAACGGGGUCCUCGCCACUUCCGCCGCUGGACUCCAUGCCAUAGUUACAGACUUACUUCGCUAGUAGGGGUGACAUGGUGCCACCGAGCCGCUCCAUUAACUUCACCUUUGCCUUGCCACCAUUGGAAUCUCAGUUGCACCACGUGUACAGAUGCAAAGCCUCCAGAGACAAUGGCACCUCAUCUUGGUGAACCCCACCACACAUAGCUGGACGACGACAGCAAUGUCACCCCACCACUGAUGUAAAUGCUCACUGCUGCACGUUGUUGCCGCAGCUCACACCAUGCUGCAACGGGGCACCACGCUGCUGCGGUCGGGCCAGCACGCAGCCACCCCCUUCUAGGCAAUGUGGUUGCAGACAGACCGCAUCCACGCUCCCCUUCUCCACUGGAUCACCGUUGCUUCACCAUCUCGAUCACUGUCGUCGCAUGGCUAACUCCACUCCCCGCAUGCCGCCACCGCCGCAUGGCCUCCUUCUCACCCUGUAGCCACCGCCUCGCCGGCCUCCGCACGGCCAGCUCUGUGCCCUGCUGAAACCGCCACACCUCCACUCCACCCAUGCUGCACGUGGCGCCGCGCUCGCCUGCCUGCAUGGCCCCGGGCCUUCGCACGCCAACUGCUGACUCCCCGCGGAGAUCUGGCACUGGGAACGCCGGAUCCAACAUCUAGGGCACAGGAUCUGAUGCCACCACAAUCACCAUGCCCGAUGGUGCCAUCGUCCGAGCGGCCUCGCAUCUCCGCCAUCGUGCCACAAAAGUGGCGCAUCGUCCACCCACGAGCCUAGCACCGACCUAGUCUACAGGUGACAGAUCCGCUCGUAGGUGACGGAUCCGCUCGCAGGGACAUCAGCAGUGCCGAAAACCUGAUGCCGGCUCGAUUUGCUGGCUCCGUGGACAGAAAUCCCAACCGCUGCCUUUCUUCCACCUGCCGGACUUCUGACCUUGGCAUGGAGGGACGAGGAGGGGGAGGUGGUUCAGCGGCACCGGUAGCGGUUGCUGCCCGAGCCGCCCCAGGAGCGACGCGGGGGCUUUUUUUUCCCAAUGUACCAGCAAAAUUGGUCCUAAGCCCUUCGGGAUCUACCAAAAAUUGGUCCUAUAAGUUGGUGUGGCCAAAAAUGUUUGAGCAAGAUCCCAUGUUCGGGAUCUGAUCCUAUUGCCUAAAAUAACACAGAAAGCACAACUUGGGAGCAAGGGAAUAAAAUAAGGAAAUUUAUUUGUAAUUCUUUUGUGUAGGCAAGCAUACGCUAUCUUAUUUUAUUCUCCUACACUUCGAGCUGAUUAUAGACAAAUAAAUUUCUUUUGUUUCACAAACAUAUGUGGAUUCCCUUGUUAUAUGUCUUCUAGCUAAUUAAGUAGUUAUAAGUAUAUGUGGUUAUAUACAGUCAUGUAUAGCUGUUUCUUGACGCCUCUCAUCUGGGUACAACUGUAGCAUCUGUUCAUACAUGCACGCAUGCUUUACCCUACACACGCACACACACUCACACUACACACGUAAAAGAAGACCUACAAACUACGCACAGAUACGAAGACCACGUCCUUCUGGAGAUCACCGGAACCAAUUAUGAUUUCUGUAGGCGAUGGGCGUGUCGCACUCCCUUUGUGGCUAGAUCCACGCGAGAGAGGCUGCAGACUUUUUAUUUAUGUAAGGGAGUAAAUCCCCCCGGGGAUCAAACUCGAGCGGGCAGCGUUCUCAGUCAUGUAUAGUUGUUGUCAGCAUUGUUAUCGGACUUGCCCCUCUAUCAAAUCCUGGCUCCGCCCCCGGCGUAGAUAAGGCCCGUUACAUGUAUUUUUAGUAAUAAUGCGUCAUGACAAAGUCCGUUGUACAAGGUAAUUAAUCUUUGGGCCAACCAAGGUAACUAGCCUCGUUGUACAAGAGUCGGGCCCCCGACCAAGAGUACUUACCGGUAAAGGUCGUCAUCAACGCCCGUUACUAAUACCACAUCACUUAUAGCGCGCUUUCAUAUAGUAUGUGCAAAAUACAGCCAGUUCCUUCAAUCCGAGCACAGUUUCUCUGUGAAAAUGGUAUUCUCCACAUGAUCAACCUGACUGGACCACACUGCUCUUUCUUUGCAGGAUGUAGCGAAAAAAGUGGAGGGUAGUACCGUCAACAAGGAACAAACUGCACGUGAAUGGUCAAAUAGUCAUCAAACAUGUUUUGGUCGUGAUACAGAUAUAUAAGCUGGUUGCAUUGGCUCACGGCCGGUCCAGAAGGCGGCGUGGUCUCAGUGUGGGGGAUGACUGGUGUUGGCAAGUCAUUUCUCAUCCAACACUUUUACCGCCGCAUGAAGGAAAGCAGGUCUACCGAUUCUUGUAAGUUUGGUUGGGUCAAUGUAUCCCGUCCAUUCGAUUUAAGGGUCUUGUCGAGGAACUUGCUUUCAGAAAUCAAUCCUGAUUCCCAAGACCACCAGGUGAUGUCAACGAUCAAAGAUCCGAUUCAAGGGUGCCGUGAAUAUCUGCAGAGAGAAGAAAACAGCCCCUACUUCAUUGUUAUCGAUGGUUUGCGAUCCAAAGAUGAAUGGGACUUGAUAAGGGCCUGUUUGGUUAUGGAUGCUUAUUUAUAAGUUGCUUAUUUGCUUAUUAUAGUUGCUUAUUUAUAAGUCUUAGGUGUUUGGUUUGGGUUGCUUAUUUGCAAUAAAUGAGACUGCUAUUGACACAUUUACCCCUGCCAUCCCAUUUUCCACUACCCCUAGUCAAUACCCGGGUCCUGGACCUCCUGGUCCUUGCGCGAGGGGGGCGCGAGCGGGGGCGCGAAGUUGCGGGGGUGGAGGCCGGGAGCCGUUGGACCGCGAGGCGGGCAGCGGGCCGGGAACCGGCGGGGGGCGGAGGCGGCCAGUGCGGAGGCAGGGUGGCGAGCGGCCGGUGCGGAGACGGGGGACGCAGGCGGCGGCGCGGAGGCGGGCCGAGAGCGGCUGGGGGCGGAGGCGGCGGCGCGGAGGCGGGUCGGGAGCGGCGGGGUGCGGAGGCGAGCGGCCGGCGCGGAGGCGGGCGGGCGGCGGGCGCAGCGGCAGCAGCCGGCACGGAGGCGGGCGGGGAGCUGGCGGCGCGGAGGCGGCCGGCGGCGGGCGGCGGGCGCAGCGGGCGGCGCGGAGGCGGCCGGCGGCGGGCGCAAUGGAGGCGGCCGGCGCGGAGGCGGCCGGCGCAGCGGCGGCGGCGGGCGGAACCGGCGAUGGGCCUCGGUGGUGACGGGAUAGAGGAGAGAGACACGGGAUAGAGGAGAGAGAAAGGGGAGAGAGGAGAGAGAAUGAGAGUAGGGGGUGUAAAAGUGUCCCAUAAGCAACCAUAAGCAACUCAAAACUUGCUUAUUUGCUUAUGCAUAAGCAACUUAUAAGCAACUCUAUAAGCAAGAGUGUUUGGGUUAUAAGCAACUUAUUUGCUUAUUUUUAAGUUGCUUAUGGAUAAGCAAAGGAAACCAAACAGGUCCUAAGUAGAAACUUGGAUUUCAGAUUUGAAACCAGUUCCGGUGAAGAAAACAAAAACGUUGUCAUAAUAAUUACCAAUGAAGAAAGUGUUGCCAAUUACUGUGCAACAGACCACAAGAAGAUGUGGAAGGUCAAAGGUAAGAAGGUGUGGAACGUCAAAGGUCUAGAAGUUAGUGAAGCCAUUAAACUCUUCGAUCAGGUACUCACUCUCCCAAAAUAAGUGCAUCUCUAGCAUUCAAAAUUUGUCCCACAAGGAAUGCAUUUCUAUCUUUUUGGACCAGCUAGGGAUAAUUUGCAUGUGCAUUUAUAUUUUUACCUUUUCAAGGUGCAUGUCCGUUUAAUUUCCUUAUUCAUUCCUUUCCAAUGUGCAUGUGCAUUUAAGUGCUUCGUUUUUCUCCUUUCCAAGGAAUGGUUCAUUAAGGUGCAUGUGAAAAUUAACAGCAUUAAUUAGGCGCAUAUUGGUCACUUCUCAUGACUACUAAUGUGUCUUAAUAAUCCUAGAAGUACACUUAAUUUGGGAUAAAGGGACUAUAUGAUCAGGAAGUAUUACACUGUUCUACAAGUAGGGAUGGAUAUGGAUGUCUGGAAAUCCGAAUUAUCCAUAUUCGACAAAAAUGUAAAUGUGGAUAUCCAUAUUCGUAUUCGAUUUUAAUAUGGAUAUUAAAUGGAUGUAUCAGGAUUUGAUUUUAGUAAUUUUCUCUAUCCGAUUCCACUUUCGUAUAUGAGAAAAAUAUGAAAUACCCCACAUUAUCCGUAUCCACAAAGAAUAAUGUGACUUAUCUUUUUGACUAAUUACUAAUGAUAAAUGAGGUACACCUUUAAUCAAUUUAAAAAGUAUCUAUAUGAAAAAUGACUAAUUAUGUUAAUUAUAAUAUUAAUAAUGAUAAAUAAAAAUAAAUUUUAAUUAACUUUAACAUGGAUAAUCAUAUAGAUUUAAAUAUUUAAUUUAUUUAUCCAAUCAAGAAAUUGUAUGAUACUUAUUGUUAUAUUAAUUUCCUUAUUAAAUAUUUUAUAAUAUUUAUGAAAAAAUCAUUUACAUUUAUAUUUAUAUAUUUAAAUAUCUAUAACAAAUAUGUUUUUCAGAUAACCUAUCUAUACAUGUGUUAUACACCCAUAAAGUAAGCUAAUACGCACUAUGACAUUUUCUGUCAAAUCAACUAAGUAUCUGAAUGUGAAUCUGAAUUUGAGCUAUCCAUUUUGUAUUCGUAUUCGAUAAGAUUCAUAUAUUUGUAUCCGAAUUCGAAUUAAAAUGUGGUAAAUAGUGCUAUCCAAAUUCUAUUCCAUGCAUAUUCGAUCCGAAUCCAUCCCUAUCUACAACUAAAUUCCAUCACAUAGAACGAAUGCAAUGCCUAAAAAAAUGUGCACAUCUUAUGUGCAAAUUUCUCUUGUUUAAUUUAGCUUCAUGCACCAUUACAUACAAUAGCAAUACUAGUAUAUCAACCCAUGCUCCUACACAGGCUAGUAAUUUUAAGAGAUAUAAAUGUUAGAAAUUUGUGGGUAAACGUAGGGUAAUACCUAAGUGCUUAUCUUUGCUCUUUUAUUUGUUCCUAAUAUAACACAAUACUGUUUUGUAAUCUUUAUCUAGUUAUAAUAAACUUUUAAUUACAAAUUACUUUAUAUGUAUCUUCAUUCCCAUUCAUAGUUUUCCCCUUUACAUCCUCCAUGUGUAUUUGAUUUUGUGCUGAAGUCAUCAUAAUUGUUAAUCAUUUCUUGCAAACAUGUGUACCUGUUCUACAUGGUGACACAACUUAAGCAUUUAUGCCUUGAGUUGUUUAUUUAUAUUAUUAACAAUGACAAAAAGGAUAAUUUAGAAGCAUAUACAGGAUUACUUUAAUAAUGAUAGAGGUGGGUAACUUAGAUGCAAAUCUCGAGGUUACUUUUUAGAUUAUUUUUCAUAAUCGCAUGUGUCUGGUUUAGAUAAAGAUUUAGGGGUUAUUUUGCAAAAUGUUAGAGAGGUGGGUAUUGAUGAAGAUUUAAACGAUUACAUUAGGUUAUUCGUGUAAUACAGAAGUCUAAUACACCAUAUUAGUUGAUAUUGUUGGCCCAUGUGACCCAAUUAUAGUUGUAGUUAGUGGGUUUAGUACCACCAUGGAAGUUUAGGGAUGAGGGCCAUCUUAUAAUCCUUUUCGCUCCAAAUACCGGGUUUACCUUUUACACACGAAGCGAUAACAAAAGUGUAAGAGAGGUGCUAUGCGUAUGCAGGCCCAUUCCAUGUAAGGAGCUAGGCCAUAAGGAGAUUUUUGAGUAGUGUGUUACAUAUAGUAUCAGAGCAUUAACCCUCACUGCAUGUGCGCGUGGCUAGGCCUGUGGCAUGGUCGUGUACUGAUGGGUGGUUCUGGAAGUCCGAUGCGUAUGUGGUGAGUUGCUGAGGGUGUCACCCUUAAGGUGGGGUGAAUAUAAAACCCCUGCCCAAUAUAUCAUAGUAUGUUGUUGGCCCAUGUGGGCAAAUUGUAGUUGUAGUUGGUGGAUUUAGUAACAACUUGGAAGUUUAGGGAGAUGAGGGCUUGCUUAUAAUCCAGUCACUCCGAAUAUAGCAUCUCUGGGUUAAUCUUUUUUACACAAAGCGAGGAAAAAAGUGCAAAAGGUGUGCUCUGCGUAUGCGGGCCCAUUCCACGUGAGGAAUUAGGCCAAAAGUAGAUUUUGGAGGGGUUUACAAUUCGUCAUAAUGGAAGAUGUGGAUAAUUUUGAUAUAAAUAUAUGGAUUUACUUUAGGUAUUUUCUAUAAUGGCAAAUGUGUGUAAUUUAUUAGAAACGAAAAUAGUUCCAAUAGCUAUUAUUGUCAAUGAUCAUGAAUUGAUGGCUAGAUAAUUCUUAUUGUUCCACGAGAAUUUCUAGAAUUUAUCUAUUUUUUCUAAAGUAUCUUGUGAGGAUUACGUCAGGCUCAAAAAGAGAAUAUAUUACACCUGUUUUGAUCUUGAUCCCUAAGUGCAGAUACUACCAAGUAGUUUCUAUAUGUGUCCAUGUCAUAUGCACAUCACUCUAGACACUAUUAUUUUCGGUGCAUCAUGCAUAUCCAUAGUUCAAGUAAUUAAUAUUCACGCAAUCUCUUCUCCACUUAUUAUGAACACACCUACCCCUGGCAUAAUGCAAAACUUGAUAGUGUCUAGUGCAUAGGUUUGCUCGUUGAAUAGGGUCUUGAUGUGAAACGGCUUCGUCCUCUCUCUAUUCUCUCAUUUAAUAGAGCGCCACAUAAGCCAAAAGAUCCUAGGUGAUACUGUAAUUAAUGACAUGGACACCAUCCUAGCUGGAGCACUAGGACUAUCCGUUUGUAGCCGUCUAUAGCAUCUCUCCUGCGCCUGCUUGACACUACUUCACUAAGACUACUCCCAAUAGAUAAUUUCAUUCUCAUUAAUUAGUAUGCAACAUAAGAAUAAUAGGAUUUCCUAAUGACAUGGAAUCAAAUUUAAGAAUAGAGAGAUGAAACUAGUUUUAUCUAGAUGAAACCACAUGUACAUAGAUACCAACUCUUCAUGAGUCAUGAAAUUAAAUCCUAUGAAAACAACACCAUGAAAUUAUGCAUUGGGAGUGGUAGUUUGAAACACUAUUUCAUUCCUUUGUUGCUUAUAUGUGGCAUUCCUUUGUUGCUUAUAUGUGGCUAUCUUGGAAACGAUGAUAUGAAAUUCGUAAUUGGGAUUAGCCUAAUCAUACGUGUCCAUCAAAAUUUCAAGGCAGCAUUUAGCCACCUCUUUGUUGUGCUGCCAUUAUAUUUGUGUUUAGUAGAUGAAGUAAGCAUUCCUGACGUUUUAGCCACCACUUCAUUUGGACUGUUUUACCCCUUAUUAAGAUUGCCCAUUAAUUGCGCGGUCGGCUCAUCAAACUCCCUAUGCGCGCCAUUAAACUGCGCAUGCCGCCUCUGCACAACGCCCAACCCUGCGCAUGCAUUCAUUUUGACCGAUGCUUGAAAGGAAUUGGUGCUCAUAACCUAAGAAGGGGAGGAGGUGAAUCAGACAAUCUAAAAACUUAACCUAUGUCUUCCACUACUUUUCAUGAAAUAAAACUAGAUCAUUUCUAUCUAGAUGUGCAUUCUAAGGUUGAUCUAGUAUGAAACCAUCAUCCCAAAACAAUUUUUGCACCUUAUAGCUAAUCCUAUCAAGAUACUACUCUAGGAAAGUAAAGGCACACAAGUUACAAGAAUGAAUUGCGGAAACAUAAAGAGGAGAUGAGAGGAAGCAAACCCUUGACAUGAUGAUUUAUCCUGUGGUAUCAGUAGGCACUAAGCCACCACUAGUUCAUGUUGUUGAAGCAUUCACACAAGAGUAUUGCUUCCCGGUCACCAAGUCUCUUUCAAGGCACAACUUGACUUACCACAAAGGCUAGACCACUAAGGCACAUGCCAAGUUUCUUAGUCACCUUGAUGCCAUCUCCACUAAGGAGCUUCUCCACGAAGGAAGGGGGUCUCCACGUCGCCCGCACACGGUCGUUGACGCCGCUCCACACCAAGCCGGAGGGUCGAAUUAAGACUUGCCGACGAGCCACCAAGGCUUCAAGGCACCAGCACACCUCUUGUACACUUGUGGUCACUCUAAAACCUGAUCACAAGGUAGGCACACCUUGCGCUCUUCCUAUCUCUAGGCCUAUCCUAGCACUAAUCACUCUCACAAAGCAUGUGCUAAGUCUUAGAUAAAUCACUUUUAGCACUUUGGUGGCAUGAAUGUUUUCUUGACGUGUCUAGCAAUCCAAUGGACUCCUACACACUCCAGCUACUCCAAAUGGGUGAGUGGUGGGGGUAUAAAUAGCCCUAAGGCCUUAAAGCGCCGUUGCUGCAAACUGCAGUGCGCGCGAAUGAAAAAAAAUUUGCGCGUGAAGGAAAAAUAAUGUGCCAAAGCCGGGCAUGCAAAAAAAGUGGCGUAGCAAGGAACCGCACCCUCACCCAAAGCUUCGGGACUGAUAGCUAUAACCACUCGUACUGCGAUGGAGUAUUGAUUAAGGGGUGACUAAUUCUAAUCGAAAUCUUUUCUAUACCUCUCAUAAUUUUGUGCUACUAUAUAUUAAAGAGUGAUGUAUUUUUUUGGAACAGAGAAAGUAAGAGUUUUUGUAAUACUCCAGUCUUUCAACUGCUGCUCCUACAAAAGGGCUAGUGAUUUUAAAAGUGGUACGAUGUCAGCAAUUUAAGAAAAAAUAUGGGCCCUGUUCCCAAUCAAAAGUGCUUAUCUUUACUCACUUUCUAUCGUUUAUCCGUAUUCUAACAAAAUACUCAUAUACUCCCUUCGUCCCAAAAAAAGUCAUUUUGGACUUCAAAAUUUGUUCCAAAAAUGUCAUUGUGUUACUCUAUUAAGUAUGUGCUAAAUAUAGAUAGCACUAACAAAAAAAGUCAUUCUGAGCUUGCGACAAUCAAUAUAUUAGCACUAAAUAUAGAUAAUAAAUAGGACAAUCCAAGUCAUUUUAUAUAUCAUUAUUAAUUUGUCCUAAAAUUCAUGGAAUGACUUAUUUUUUAGGAUGGAGGGAGUCCAUACAUUCUUAUGUUUAUCUGGUUGUGAUAGACUAAUUUAGUUUCCAAUUAAUAUGUAUGCUUUCUGAUCUUCAUCCAUAGUUUGUUUCCUUUUCACUGCGUUGCAUCUGGAUGGCAUAGGCUUAGUUGAAACCUUAGCUUGAGCUAUAUUUUUUACAUGAAAAUCGAUAUGCUCACCACUUCCUGCAUACAUGUAUAUGUGGUCUGUAGGGUGACACAUGUAUACCUUGAGUUAUCUUUUCCUAUAUUAAUAAUAUUAUAAGUGGGGUAACAAGAACCAUACAUAGGAGCACAUUGAGAUAUUUUUUAUAAUGACAAAGGAAAGUAGCUAUUAGAUGCAUAUGUAGGGGUUACAUUAUAUUUUAGAGAAAUACUUAUUUUAUUUUUAGUAACGGCGGUGGGGAACUUUAAUGCAAAUUUAGAGGGUAAUUUUAUAUUAUUUUCUGUAAUGACAAUAUUGGUGGGUAAUUUAGAUGAAGGUAUAGAGGAUUACUUUAUAUUACCUUUCAUAUGGAAAAUCUGGAUAAUUUAGAUAUCGAUUUAGGGUGUUACUUUAUGCUACUUUCAUAGUGGCUGAGGGUAAUUUUUCUAGAAAAAACAAAAUAGAUCCAGCGACCAAUGAUGAUUACAGUCUACUGAAUUGAUACUCACACGUGUCUAAUUUUGUGAAAAUUACUAGAAUUUUUUCUAUGCCUCUCACCAGAAUUCACGUGGAGGCUCUAAUUAGUAAUAGUAAUAAAAUAUUAUGCUUUGCUUUUUCUUGGUUUAACAAAUAAACUGGUCCUUAUAUUGUUUGAACAACAGCUGGUAGCAACUAAUAAGCGCUGGUGGUUCUGGGAGAAUAAGAACUUGGAAACAAAGCAUCGGAAUGAUGAAGCAAGACAUAUCUUAUUGCAGAAAUGUGGUGGACUUCCCAAGGUCAUAUGUGCUGUAGCUGAGACAUCGAAUAUGGUUCGCGACAUAAAAUUACAAGAUAACCUUGUGUCAAAGUUGGAGGCCACACGAAGUCUAGAAGACGUGCUUUCCUGGUUGCUUUCCUACUUUCAAUCUUGUCAGGAUUCCCUGAAGCCAUGUAUCUUCUACCUGUCAAUCUUCCCUGUGAACCACACCAUCCGGCGGAGACGUUUGAUCAGGCGUUGGAUAGCGGAGGGGUACUUUAGAGACAACAAAGAAAGCACUGCAGAGGAGAAUGGGGAGAGGUCGUUUUCCAAUCUCGUCGAUCUAAGCAUGAUCCAGAAGCCAAGAACAAGUGUUGAUGACACGAGGAUGCCUUUGUGCCAAGUCAAUGGUUUCCUCCGUGAAUACAUCGUCUCACGGUUAAUGGAAGAGAACCUUGUCUUUGAACUUGAGGGUCACUGCAGAAAGAACAUACAGCGCACAGGACGGCACCUUGCCAUAGACAAUAGCUGGGACAGAGACAGAAAUGUUUUUGAGAGCAUCGACCUUUCAUUGCUACGGUCUUUGACUGUGUUUGGUAA
rnacentral:lncRNA from 1 species